UCUGUCUGCACGACGCAUGAAGAAACACGGUGGCUGUACCGACUCCGACAACAUAUCCUGAUAGAGCCAUGUUUCCGUGGAACAGAGAAUGUUACAAUCUCUGAUGUCUUUCUGGAUGGCAACCCUUGCCCUAAUUUCAUAUACUGUACCUUGUUAUCUAGAGACUGGAUAUUGGCGAGCAAUAUACUCGGAAGCAGUGUACACACUUUCGAAGUCUGACCAGGAGGCUGCUCCGUCUACCUCUUCUGCAGCGACGUUGUUUUGGAUCGGCCUCUGGGAUUAGAUCCAAUGUCCUGGCUGGUGGUCCAAACAAAGGAUCUGCUUCGGGAAAGUCGUAUUCCUGGUCGUAAUGUUGGACUCAACAAAUGCCAAGGAGCUCGGAGAAAGGGGUGAAGAUUUGAGAUGCAAACAGGUCCUGACACUUCUUGGACAAGAUGGGGUUCAGAGACCGGGAUGAGGGAGACCUGGGACCUGUGUAUAGUUUCCAGUGGAGGCACUAUGGUGCGGAAUACAGAAAUAUGCACGCAGAUAACACAGGACAAAGUGUGGACUAACUACAGAAAGUUGACACGAUCAAGAUCAAUCCAGAAGAAUCAUCAUGUGUGCGUGGAACCUCAAAGGCAUCUGACAGUCUUCACUGACUUCACUGUGUAUACACUUAACAGUCAACGUUGGUUUGUAUUGCUCACACACCUGUGCCUGUGUUGUUCCCAGACCAUAUGGCGCUGCCCCCUGCCCUGUGUCAGUUGUAUUCAAUUGACGGGAAGCUGCCGUGUCAGCUGUACCAGUGCUCAGGGGACAUGGGCCUGGGAGUGCCCUUCAACAUCGCCAGCUACGCCAUCCUCACCUACAUGAUCGACCACACAUCACAGCACUUGAGGUGGGGCAGACACCAGCUUAAAUCCCCUAUUCGCUAACACCCUCCCUUCGACACAAAGGAUGAUCUUUUAAGUGUAAUAACCGGUCUAUAAUAAAAGCAGGGUAGUAAAAUAAGGUAUUUCAUUCCUGCCUUUCUCCCUCCAGCCUGGUGAAAGUAGGUUCAUGACAGAUACAACAACCGAGAUAUACACACUGCAGUGACAAGUGUGUCAAGCUAUGGCCACACAGAAGCAUGAAAACAAAUACACAUUCAUCCUUCUGUAUUUGUCCAUCAAAAGUUCAACUAUCUUUGGACUGGUUGCAAAACGUACACAGGCCUACAUAUUGUGCGUUUGACGGAUGGUCGUCCAUUAUCCGUCAACGGAUGACUCCCAUUGCAAAACCAUUGGCUCAAUCCAUCAUUUUCAGACACAAAAUGUCUGGACGCGGCCCAAAUGUGAUGACUCUUCCCUUACAGCUCCAAAGAGAUUCGGCCCUUCCCCAAGCCGAAGCUCAUUCGGACAGUGGAAAAAAAAUAGAUGACUUCCGUGCAGAAGACUAAGAUCGUUGACUACAAUCUCCAACGCAUCAUCAAAAUGUAGAUGGCAGUUUAAAUGGCCUUCAAUUAACUACAAUGAACAAAAAUAAAACACCAUGCAACAAUUUUCAAAGAAGUAUAGCUCAUGUAAGGAAAUGUCAAUUGAAAUAAAUUCAUUAGGCCCUAAUCUAUGGAUUUCACAUGAUUCUGAAUACAGCUAUGCAUCGGUUGGUCAGAGAUACCUUGAAAAAAAAAAAUAGGAGCAUGGGUCAGAAAACCAGUCAGUAUCUGGUGUGACCGCCAUUCAUUUGCCUUGUGUAGCGCGACACAGAGUUGGUCAGGCUGUUAAUUGUGGCCUGUGGAAUGUUGUCCCACGCUUCAAUGGCUGUGCGAAGUUGCUGGAUAUUGGCGGGAACUGGAACACUGUUGUACAUGUCGAUCCAGACCAUCCCAAACAUGCUCAAUGGGAGACAUGUCCGAGUAUGCAGGCCAUGGAAGAACUGGGACAUUUCAGCUUCCAGGAAUUGUGUACAGAUCCUUGCUACAUGUGGCUAUGCAUUAUGCGGAAACAUGAGGUAAUUGCGGCGGAUUAAUGGACCGACAAUGAGCCUCGGGAUCUCGUCAUUGAAUUUCUGUGCAUUAAAAUUUCCAUCGAUUAAAAUGCAAUUAUUCAUUUAUUGUAGCUUACGCCUGCCGAUACCCUCACCACCACGGGUCACUGUUCACAACGUUGACAUCAGCAAACUGCUUACCCACACAACACCAUACAAGCCAUCCGCCUGGUACAGUUGAAACUGCUGCGACUUCCGUCACAGUCAUUCUCUAAAAUAACAGAAGUAGCUUAUGGUAGAGAAAUGUACAUUCAAUUCUCUGGCAACAGCUCUGGUGGACAUUCCUGCAGUCAGCAUGCCAAUUGCACGCUCCCUCAACUUGACAUCUGCGGCAUUGUUGUGACCACUGCACAUUUUAGUGGACAUUUGUCCACAGCACAAGCUGCACCUGUGUAAUGAUCAUGCCGUUUAAUAUGCCACACCUAUCAGGUGGAUAGAUUA